rnacentral:rRNA from 1 species
AGUCGUAACAAGGUUUCCGUAGGUGAACCUGCGGAAGGAUCAUUAAAGAGUAAGGGUGCUCAGCGCCCGACCUCCAACCCUUUGUUGUUAAAACUACCUUGUUGCUUUGGCGGGACCGCUCGGUCUCGAGCCGCUGGGGAUUCGUCCCAGGCGAGCGCCCGCCAGAGUUAAACCAAACUCUUGUUAUUAAACCGGUCGUCUGAGUUAAAAUUUUGAAUAAAUCAAAACUUUCAACAACGGAUCUCUUGGUUCUCGCAUCGAUGAAGAACGCAGCGAAAUGCGAUAAGUAAUGUGAAUUGCAGAAUUCAGUGAAUCAUCGAAUCUUUGAACGCACAUUGCGCCCCUUGGUAUUCCGAGGGGCAUGCCUGUUCGAGCGUCAUUACACCACUCAAGCUAUGCUUGGUAUUGGGUGCCGUCCUUAGUUGGGCGCGCCUUAAAGACCUCGGCGAGGCCUCACCGGCUUUAGGCGUAGUAGAAUUUAUUCGAACGUCUGUCAAAGGAGAGGACUUCUGCCGACUGAAACCUUUUAUUUUUCUAGGUUGACCUCGGAUCAGGUAGGGAUACCCGCUGAACUUAAGCAUAUCAAUAAUAAAAGUCG